GGUAGCUCAGUGGCAGAGCGCCUGCCUUGCAUGCAUGAGGCCCUGGGUUCGAUUCCUCAGUACCA
rnacentral:tRNA from 1 species